rnacentral:siRNA from 1 species
CCCAAUUGCGAAAACGAUGCC